UAUAUACUCCUUCCGUUCGAAAAAGCUUGUCUCUAAAAUGGAUGUAUCUAGCACCAAGUUAGUGCUAGAUAUAUCCAUUUGAGGGACAAGUUUUUCCGGAUGGAGGGAGUAGGUU
rnacentral:pre_miRNA from 1 species